UACGUAGGGAGCGAGCGUUGUCCGGAAUUACUGGGCGUAAAGGGUGCGUAGGCGGCAUGGCAAGUCAGAUGUGAAAUCCCCGGGCUUAACCCGGGAGCUGCAUUUGAAACUGUCGUGCUUGAGUGCAGGAGAGGAAAGCGGAAUUCCUAGUGUAGCGGUGAAAUGCGUAGAUAUUAGGAGGAACACCAGUGGCGAAGGCGGCUUUCUGGACUGCAACUGACGCUGAGGCACGAAAGCGUGGGGAGCAAACAGG
rnacentral:rRNA from 1 species